rnacentral:rRNA from 1 species
UACGGGGGGGGCAAGCGUUGUUCGGAAUUACUGGGCGUAAAGGGCUCGUAGGCGGCCAACUAAGUCAGACGUGAAAUCCCUCGGCUUAACCGGGGAACUGCGUCUGAUACUGGAUGGCUUGAGGUUGGGAGAGGGAUGCGGAAUUCCAGGUGUAGCGGUGAAAUGCGUAGAUAUCGGGAGGAACACCGGUGGCGAAGGCGGUUCUCUGGGCCUUACCUGACGCUGAGGAGCGAAAGCGUGGGGAGCGAACAGG